AGAGUUUGAUCAUGGCUCAGAAUCAACGCUGGCGGCGCGCCUAACACAUGCAAGUCGAACGAGAAAGUGGAGCAAUCCAUGAGUAAAGUGGCGUACGGGUGAGUAACACGUGGGUGAUCUACCUCUUAGUGAGGAAUAACCCUGGGAAACCGGGGCUAAUACCGCAUAAGCCUGAGAAGGGAAAGCAGCAAUGCGCUGAGAGAGGAGCCCGCGGCCGAUUAGCUAGUUGGUGAGGUAAAAGCCCACCAAGGCAGAGAUCGGUAGCCGGCCUGAGAGGGCACACGGCCACACUGGCACUGAAACACGGGCCAGACUCCUACGGGAGGCAGCAGUGGGGAAUCUUGCACAAUGGGGGAAACCCUGAUGCAGCGACGCCGCGUGAGCGAUGAAGCCCUUCGGGGUGUAAAGCUCUUUCGUCAGGGAAGAUCAUGACGGUACCUGGAGAAGCAGCUGCGGCUAACUACGUGCCAGCAGCCGCGGUAAUACGUAGGCAGCAAGCGUUGUUCGGAGUUACUGGGCGUAAAGGGUGUGUAGGCGGUUCUUUAAGUUUGGUGUGAAAUCUCCCGGCUCAACCGGGAGGGUGCGCCGAAUACUGAGGGACUAGAGUGUGGGAGAGGAAAGUGGAAUUCCUGGUGUAGCGGUGAAAUGCGUAGAUAUCAGGAGGAACACCGGUGGUGUAGACGGCUUUCUGGACCAUAACUGACGCUGAGACACGAAAGCGUGGGUAGCAAACAGGAUUAGAUACCCUAGUAGUCC
rnacentral:rRNA from 1 species